CAUGCAGUCGAGCGGCAGCACAGCACAGCUUGCUCUGUGGGUGGCGAGUGGGGGAAGGGUGAGUAAUGCAUCUGGACCUACCCGGACGUGGGGGAUAACGUACGGAAACUUACACUGAUACCGCACACCUCCUACGGGAGAAAGCGGUUCACCUUCUGGCCUCUCGCGUUUGGACAGACCGAUUUUCCAUUAUCUUGUUGGUAUGGUUAUGGCUUGCCACGGUCACUAUCGAUAGCUGGUCUAAGAUGAUGAUCACCCACACUGGGACUGAGACCCGACCCCUACUCCUACCGGAGGCGGCAAUGGGGAAUAUUGGACAAUGGGCCCGAUCCUGAUCCGCCACUGCCGCGAGUGUGAACAACGCCUUCGGGUUGUAUAGCACUUUUAUCGAGAACGAAAUACCACGGGUUAAUAACCUAUGGGGCUGACGGUACCUGAGGAAUAAGCACCGUCUAACUUCGUGCCCGCAGCCGCGCUAAUACUAAAGGUGCAAGCGUUAAUCGCAGUUACUGGGCGUAAAGGGUGCGUAUGCUGUUCGUUAAGUCUGUCGCGAAAUCCCCGGGCUCAACCUGGGAAUGGCGAUUGAUACUGGCGAGCUUGAGUGAGUCAGAGGAUGGUGGAAUUCCCGGUGUAACGUGCAAAUGCGUAGAGAUCGGGAGGAACAUCAAUGGCGAACGCCUGCAUCUAGGACGACACUGACGCUCAAACACGAGGCGUGGGGAGCGAACAGGAUUACAUACCCUGGUAGUCCACGCCCUAAACGAUUCGACUGGAUAUUGGUCUCAACUCGGAGAUCAGUGUCGAAGCUUACGCGUUAAGUUCGCCGCCUGGGGAGUACGGGCGCAAGACUGAAACUCAUAGGAAUUGACCGGGCCCGCACAAGCGGUGGAGUAUGUGGUUUAAUUCGAUGCACAC
rnacentral:rRNA from 1 species